UACGAAGGGGGCUAGCGUUGCUCGGAAUCACUGGGCGUAAAGCGCACGUAGGCGGCGUCUUAAGUCAGGGGUGAAAUCCUGGAGCUCAACUCCAGAACUGCCUUUGAUACUGAAGAUCUUGAGUUCGGGAGAGGUGAGUGGAACUGCGAGUGUAGAGGUGAAAUUCGUAGAUAUUCGCAAGAACACCAGUGGCGAAGGCGGCUCACUGGCCCGAUACUGACGCUGAGGCACGAAAGCGUGGGGGAGCAAACAGG
rnacentral:rRNA from 1 species